UACGUAGGUGGCAAGCGUUGUCCGGAUUUACUGGGCGUAAAGAGCGCGCAGGCGGUCGAAUAAGUCGAAUGUGAAAGCCCCCGGCUCAACUGGGGAGGGUCAUUCGAUACUGCUCGACUUGAAGGCAGGAGAGGGUAGUGGAAUUCCCGGUGUAGUGGUGAAAUGCGUAGAUAUCGGAAGGAACAUCAGUGGCGAAAGCGGCUUCCUGGCCCAAUACUGACACUCAGGUGCGAAAGCGUGGGGAGCAAACAGG
rnacentral:rRNA from 1 species